AGCUUCUUGGAAAAGACUUUCAGUCUCCUCAGCGGUUUAAGACGAUCACUUCGCUUGUGCUUGUUCUGCGAUCUUGUAGUCCUGUAACCUGAGAUACUCGUCUCCCUUCACCAUUACUGGUGUUCAAGACGUUCUCUCAUCAACCUUCCCCUUCCUUGUAUGGCAACCCAGUUGGGAUUCCUUUCUAGCCUGAGAUACUCGUCUCCAUUCACCACUCUUGAUGUUUAAGACGUUCUCUCAUGUAGCACUUCAACAACCUUUCCUACCCUUCAUCCGAUAUAAUUGAGACCUAUUAGCAAUUUUCCCUUUGUUUCAGCUGCUCCACCUUGAGCUAAAACAUCCACCUCGUCUUAUCCGUCACAAGUAAAUUUUCUUGCUCCUUACUAGCUCUUUAUUAUCGAUAAGAAAUAACAGUAGUCCCUUACUCAUUAUUUCUUCUUGUGCGAGGUGUCUCGAUAAUAAAAUUACCUGUGACGCUUUUCUCCUAUCAGUGGACAUUAGGAAGUUCACAGCAAAGCUGCAACUUCUGAUCAGGUGCGUUUUCUUUUAACCGCUCUACAUGAUUACCCGUAGUAUAUGUAUUGUUCGAUACAUCUUCCCUUUUUAGUGUGGUAAUGAUAGACUUGGUUUCUGCAUCGCUAACUUUGAGCAUAAACCCUGUAGCCGAUGCUUCCUCAUCGUUUGUUGCAUAAUCUGAGUUUGUGAAACUUUCAAUGCAAAACUGUGAAUCCUUCUUGAAUCCAUCAAGCCUUUGAUUCUCCUUUGAUGAUGCCUUAUCAUUACUCUUUUCUUCAUUCUUUGAAAGACAAUAAUCAUCUAUAGCAUGCCCAUUCUCAGUUUCUUUACUUGACUCGUAUUUCUCUGCUGAAAACGAAUCUCCACCUCGAGCUGAAGUCGUUUCUGUCCUAAAACCAUAUGGACUUGGUCCCUGAAUUAAACUCUCACUGAAAGACACCUUUAACUUCUUUUGUUUAACUUCCUUCUCAGCUUUUGAAGUAUCCACUUUACUCUUCACAACCGUUCCUUGAAGAAAGUAUAACCCAUCUUUGUAUUUUCCUGAAAUUACUUUCUUCUUACGUUUGUAAAAUUGAACCUUGAAGCAGCUUCCUCUAUACCUGCAACCUGAUUUUUCUAACAUCCCAUAAGAAAUCAGAUUCCUACUCACGUCCGGCAUGUAUUUAACAUCCUUGAGUAUCACUUCAGAACCAUCUGAAUUUUGAAUCCGAAUCUUUCCCAUUCCUUUGAUGCUGCCUUGAGUGUUGUUAGCCAUCAAUACACUUCCUCCUUCAUACUCCUUGAAAUCAAACAAGACUUCUUUGUCAUGUGUACUAUGGAAUGAACAACCUGAAUCCAUGAUCCAUUCCUUGAGUGUAUCUUGAUUGCUAACGGUUAACACUAGUGGCUGCACAGGCUCUUUUGUAAAAUUUGCAGAAUUUGGACGUCUCCUUCUUUCAGGACAUUCUCGCUUCCAAUGGUCUUCUUUUCCACAAAUAAAACAACCCGUGUUGUUCUCCUCUGAUCUCUGAUUCGACUGAAACUUUCCUCUGCUUUUAGAUCUCCCUCUCCAGUUAUUGGAGUUUCCAUUACUGUUCCCUGACCUCUUCUGAGUUCUUCCACGUGACUCUACAUACAAACCUUCCGAAUCUGUUUUGCUUUUGUUAAGUAAUCCUUUCUGCUUAAGUUCCGCUUCUUUGGAAUAAGCUGAAGUUACAACUUCGUUUACGGUAAGCGUUUCUUUCCCAGUACCGUAUUGAAGUGUGUGAACCAAUGGUUCAUAUGCUUCUGGAAGUCCCGACAAUAGUUGAAUCGCUUGAUCUUCAUCUGAUAUGGUAACUUUGAGACUCUCCAAGUCUGCGAUUAGCUUCAGAAAGAUAUCUACGUUUUCUUCUAUCGUCUUGUCCUCUUCCAUCUUAUAGCAAGAGAACUGUUUCUUCAAGUAGAUUCUGUUGGGUAGCGACUUCGUUUGAUAAUUCUUUUCAAGGGCCUUCCACAUCCCUAAUGCAGUUGUUUCAUGCAUAAUCUUUCUUAGAAUAGAAUCACUUAAACACGUUCCCAGUAGACUUCUUACUCUAAGAUCCUUGUCAGCUUUCUUUUGAUCAACCUUUGCAUCUGACCCUUCUACUUCUUUCCCAGAUUCUGUCAAGACCGUAAAGUCUUCCUUAAGAACCGAAAGUAGACCCUGGAUCUCUAGCUGACCCAUCAUCUUAUACUUCCACAUCCCGAAAUCACCUUUGCCAUCAAAUUUCUCCAUCUCAAAUUUUCCUAGAGUUGGUUCCAUAAUUCUAGCUAGCACUUCCAAUCAAACCUGAUGCUCUGAUACCACUUGUUAGGAUUUUAACCUUAACCUUGUGCUAUAGAAUUAGGAAUAAACUUGAUACCAAACUUGUCUUAGCUUUUAUUCACUACAAAGGUUUCUCAAGAACAAAAUAUAAAGAUCACAAGCCUAAGUAAUAAACGCUCUUCCUAAUUGCUAAUCUCUCUUGAUCUCUCUUUAUCUAACUUAUUGCUCUCUUCUCUCUUCUUAAACGGAUGAUCUUUGUUGUUGUUGAAGCUUUCCUUAUAUAGUCACGACCUAGACCGAAUCCUCUUUGUAAAAGGAUUAUUUCCAUUCUCUUAAAUUGGUAAAGCACGAGACCGUCAUUAACGUAAUCAGAAACUUGCCGCCAAAGUAAUC
rnacentral:lncRNA from 1 species